UCGGACAGCUCCUGGUGCACUUUCCCGCUCUUCCUGUCAGGAGGUGGUGCCCUCUGGGUACCAGGCCGCUCGUCCCGGGCCAAUCGCAAAGCGCUUAGAGCCGAAUGGGGCGGGACAGAGGCAAGAAAGGGUCGUCCCAAUUGGAGCGUUCGAAAGGUUCUGGGCAGAGGCGGGGAAGCGGCGAGUGGGGGCCUCGCCCCGCCUGCGGUCGCCAUGGUAACCGAGAGGGCGCAGCUCAGCGUUGGCGCCAGCACCGGGGUCUUGUGCUGUCCCUCAAUGGGUGACCAGUUAAGGUGGGAACCUGUGGUCUCACAUACUUGAAGUCUGAGCUGAGUGGACCUGACUGCCAUAGACUUUCCAUUGAAAGGGGAAAUGUGUCAGAGAGAAGCGAGUCUGGGAGGAGGGAAAGUGCCUUCAGUCCAGGACUAAUUUCAAGGUUUACAACACUUUACACACUCUGCAACUCCUGAUAAUCCAGGGACUACUCCUUUGGCAGCGUUUGCUAUUCGAUGCCUCCAGAUGUACUGAAGCUGCAAAAACGAGCUCUUCAUUACAAAGAUACGUUUGUUUAGGAAGAGACUGGAUUUCACUUGUCAACUUACCCCAUCACCACGAGUCAUUUAAUGUUGGUAACGCCAGCCACGAUUUUUCGUAUCUAUAACACCCCUUCUUCCAUUGAAUUCUACCUACAAAUAACUGAAGGCUCACAUUAUUUUGGAAUAUGGACCUCCGCCUCUUGUGGAGACUUGAGAUUGCUCUUAAGCUGAUUUCCCAAACAGGGGCUGCAAUGUGUGUUCCCGAUUUUAGAUUCAUUGAGCUCACCCUAGAUGAGUCCUUUGGUUCGGUGGUUCGGAAAAGUCUCUUUGUUCCUUCUCCAAACUCAAUGUUCCAGGAUCUCUUGGUGCUCGUGCCAGUGUCUCAUGUAGAAUGUUGCGUGAUCUCUGCUCAAGAAUCUGAGUCACAAGGUUGAUGCCUUCACAGAUGACAGAACAGAAGUUCCCUGAGUACCCGAGUCUGUCUUUGCUGUUUCUAAGAAGAUUGCAGUGAGAUCGCCUCAUUACACUCCAGCCUGGGCAACAGAGUGAGACUCUGUCUCAUAAAUAAAUAAAUAAAUAAAUAAAUAAAUAAAUAAACUCCCUCAGUAUAUGUUGCCUGUAAUACAUAACCUACUACCAUACUAGAUAGUCUUGCACUGUUUGUUCUCCAUCCACCUCUGUUAGUUUCCUCAUCUAGGUCAUAAAAAUGUCAAGGGCAAGGUGUCGUAAGAUGUGACUAUAAUAUGACAGAUUUGAUUUUUUUUUAAAUCAUAGACAUCUAAGAAAAGGUAACACUCUCCAACUUGUCACUUUGGGGAAACUGACUAAAUGCUUCUUUUCAAAAUGUAUCAUUGCUCCAUUGCUUUAGGAAUGACUAUCUAUUUGUUUAUUUGUUUGUUCAUUGAUUUGUUUCUCUAGAGAGUGGGACUUGCUCUGUCACCCAGGCUGGAGUACAGUGGCGCGAUCAUAGCUCACUGUAACUUUGAAUUCCUGGGCAAUCCUCCUGCCUCAGGGCUCCUGAGUAGCUGAGACUGCAGGUGCACACCACUACACCCAGCUAAUUUUUUGUAUUUUUUUUGUAUGGAUGAGGUCUCGCUAUGGUGCUCAGGCUGCGUUCAAACUCCUGGCCUCAAGGGAUCAUCCCACCUCAGCAUCUCGAAGUACUGGGAUUACAGGCAUGAGCCACUGCACCCAGACAGGAAUGACUCUUUAGAAUUGGUCUUUACAGUUGAUAGCACAUGUGACAUAUGACCAACGUUUAUCUUCUAAGGAUGGAUUUGAUUGAGUUACCAAAGAUUUAGUGGGAUAACAGUCCAUCCUUCUAAAGUGAUGCCUUUAAAAGAGAAUAUUUAUCAGAAUGUAUAAUUUCUAGAAAAAUUUGGUAGAAUGCUCCCUCUCUUAUGUCCCUUCAUAGCACCCAGUACGGUGCAGUUUCAUACAGAAUAGACAGUUGGGGCCGACAUGACCAGUUGUUGGCCUGCCAUCCAUUGGCUUACUUCCUUCUACACCAAUAGAAGCCUGAUUUUAUUCUGAAGACAAUGUGCUCAGUCCCAAUCAAGGUCUAAAACAAGUAUGAGCAUCCUGUCCCCUGCCUUCUGAGCCUGUCAGGAGGAGGGGUGACCUUGCUAAUUUUUUAAAAAAGGGACAGAUAGGCCAGGCGUGCUGGCUCAUGCCUGUAAUCCCAGCAAUUUGGCCACUGCACUCCAGCCUGGGCAAAGAACGAGACCCUGUCUCAGAAAAAGAAAAAAAAGGGGACAGACAUGGCUCUUCUCUCCUUCAUUUUCCUGGCUCUUUCCAUCUUUGAAAGUAGUCCUGAAUCUGGAGUGCUCAUAGCAGCC
rnacentral:lncRNA from 10 species